rnacentral:pre_miRNA from 1 species
GGUGGUGAGCGAGUGAAGCUGCAACAUGAUCUGAUGAUGGACCAAAUAUUCAGAAACCAUGCAUACAUGCUCACUAAUUCAGAAACCAUGCAUAUUAGAAUACCAAGAAUCCUCCUCCAACUAACACUCAACCCCGUCUAGCACCAAGAGUAGUCCUCAUGUCGCAUUGCGGCAUACCUAAACCCUGAAAACCUCUGAUUGUUUCGGUCCUCGUCAGAUCAUGCUGGCAGCUUCAAUCUCUCACACC